ACACGACUCUCGGCAACGGAUAUCUCGGCUCUCGCAUCGAUGAAGAACGUAGCSAAAUGCGAUACCUGGUGUGAAUUGCAGAAUCCCGCGAACCAUCGAGUCUUUGAACGCMAGUUGCGCCCGAGCCAUUCGGCCGAGGGCACGCCUGCCUGGGCGUCACGC
rnacentral:rRNA from 1 species